UAGCUCAGUAGGAUAGAGCAAUCGCCUCCUAAGCGAUAGGUCGCUGGUUCAAUUCC
rnacentral:tRNA from 1 species